CCUACGGGGGGCAGCAGUGAGGAAUAUUGGUCAAUGGACGAGAGUCUGAACCAGCCAAGUAGCGUGAAGGAUGACUGCCCUAUGGGUUGUAAACUUCUUUUAUGUGGGAAUAAAAUGUUCCACGUGUGGGAUUUUGUAUGUACCAUAUGAAUAAGGAUCGGCUAACUCCGUGCCAGCAGCCGCGGUAAUACGGAGGAUCCGAGCGUUAUCCGGAUUUAUUGGGUUUAAAGGGAGCGUAGGUGGAUUGUUAAGUCAGUUGUGAAAGUUUGCGGCUCAACCGUAAAAUUGCAGUUGAAACUGGCAGUCUUGAGUACAGUAGAGGUGGGCGGAAUUCGUGGUGUAGCGGUGAAAUGCUUAGAUAUCACGAAGAACUCCGAUUGCGAAGGCAGUUCACUGGACUGCAACUGACACUGAGGCUCGAAAGUGUGGGUAUCAAACAGGAUUAGAUACCCUAGUAGUC
rnacentral:rRNA from 1 species